CGGAAAUAUAUUAAAAAUGAGUAGACGUAAAUAAAUAGAAUAGAUGAAAAGACAGAUCAGUUUGAAAGGUUCAUUAAAGGGGGACAUAUAGAAAACAUUUUCUACUGUAUAUUGGGAGAGAAAGAUUGGUAUUACCUCAACAUUGGCGGGGACACGCCCCCCCUCAAAAAGAAUACGUGGUUACGCCCAUAGUUGUAGGAGACACAGCAGCGACGGAGUCGGAGUAGGAGACACAUUUUUCCUCAGGAGUCACGGUAAGGAUGUUUAAAUAUGAUUAUAAUAUUUAUGUUUAUAAUUGUGUUCUUGUUUGCCAAUCAACAAAUCAAGAUGUUGUUCAACAAGUAAUUUUAAUCUUAAAUUGUAAUAGUAAUUCUUAACUUGUAAUUUGUACCCUCGGUUUUUAUAAAUUUGUACCCUCCGUUUUUAUAAAUCUGCUCCCUCCGUUUUUAUAAAUCUCUUCCCUCAGUUUUUAUUAAUCUGUUCGUCAUUUUCUAAUAGUAUUCUAUGUUGUUCUAGACACAGCAGACACGGGGUUUUCUUUCUUCAAUUUUAACUUUUCUCAGGAGUUUAAGGUAAGGAUGUUUAAGCGAAAUAUAAUUAUAAUAUUUAUGUUUAUAAUUGUGUUCUUGUUUUUAAACGAAUGUUAAUUAACUACUUUGUAGUAAGCAUCGAGCAGAUGCCAGCCAGUUUUAGUCAGAUAAUUAGCUAUUGCUCCCUAAUCUAAAUGAUAAUAAUCGAAGAAAAUUUUUGUUCAACAAGUUUUGUAAUCCGCGCGCGCGUUAAAGUUGGUUUAUAUCGGACAUUCGCUGUACAUUCAAGCUUCUCUAUUUCUCAUAGAAUAAACACACAAAAAGGAUACAAUGUGUAUUGUCUUAAUAAUGUGUAUUGAGU
ensembl:lncRNA